rnacentral:rRNA from 1 species
AUUGAACGCUGGCGGCAGGCCUAACACAUGCAAGUCGAGCGGUAGAGAGAAGCUUGCUUUUCUUGAGAGCGGCGGACGGGUGAGUAAUGCCUAGGAAUCUGCCUGGUAGUGGGGGAUAACGUUCGGAAACGGACGCUAAUACCGCAUACGUCCUACGGGAGAAAGCAGGGGACCUUCGGGCCUUGCGCUAUCAGAUGAGCCUAGGUCGGAUUAGCUAGUUGGUGAGGUAAUGGCUCACCAAGGCGACGAUCCGUAACUGGUCUGAGAGGAUGAUCAGUCACACUGGAACUGAGACACGGUCCAGACUCCUACGGGAGGCAGCAGUGGGGAAUAUUGGACAAUGGGCGAAAGCCUGAUCCAGCCAUGCCGCGUGUGUGAAGAAGGUCUUCGGAUUGUAAAGCACUUUAAGUUGGGAGGAAGGGCAGUAAAUUAAUACUUUGCUGUUUUGACGUUACCGACAGAAUAAGCACCGGCUAACUCUGUGCCAGCAGCCGCGGUAAUACAGAGGGUGCAAGCGUUAAUCGGAAUUACUGGGCGUAAAGCGCGCGUAGGUGGUUUGUUAAGUUGGAUGUGAAAUCCCCGGGCUCAACCUGGGAACUGCAUUCAAAACUGACUGACUAGAUUAUGGUAGAGGGUGGGUGAAAUUCCCUGUGUAGCGGUGAAAUGCGUAGAUAUAGGAAGGAACACCCGUGGCGAAGGCGACCACCUGGAUUAAUACUGACACUGAGGUGCGAAAGCGUGGGGAGCAAACAGGAAUAGAUACCCUGGUAGUCCACGCCGUAAACGAUGUCAACUAGCCGUUGGAAGCCUUGAGCUUUUAGUGGCGCAGCUAACGCAUUAAGUUGACCGCCUGGGGAGUACGGCCGCAAGGUUAAAACUCAAAUGAAUUGACGGGGGCCCGCACAAGCGGUGGAGCAUGUGGUUUAAUUCGAAGCAACGCGAAGAACCUUACCAGGCCUUGACAUCCAAUGAACUUUCUAGAGAUAGAUUGGUGCCUUCGGGAACAUUGAGACAGGUGCUGCAUGGCUGUCGUCAGCUCGUGUCGUGGGAUGUUGGGUUAAGUCCCGUAACGAGCGCAACCCUUGUCCUUAGUUACCAGCACGUCAUGGUGGGCACUCUAAGGAGACUGCCGGUGACAAACCGGAGGAAGGUGGGGAUGACGUCAAGUCAUCAUGGCCCUUACGGCCUGGGCUACACACGUGCUACAAUGGUCGGUACAGAGGGUUGCCAAGCCGCGAGGUGGAGCUAAUCCCACAAAACCGAUCGUAGUCCGGAUCGCAGUCUGCAACUCGACUGCGUGAAGUCGGAAUCGCUAGUAAUGGCGAAUCAGAAUGUCGCGGUGAAUACGUUCCCGGGCCU